UCUUUCAGCUUCUUCCAAAUGAAACACGGCUUCUUCUUCCCUCCGUAGCACAAGCUACUUCUUCUCUUCGUGGCUGCUACUUCUGCUUCUUCCGCCACUGCCACUGCCGCCGUUGCGUCGCACAAUCUCUCUCUGUCAUCCCUUGCGUCGCACGAGAUCCCUCCACCGCCGCUCUUGUCGCAUCUACUCCCAUCGUCGCAGAGCUCUCUCUGCCGCCGCUCUCAUCGCAUCUGCUCCCUCUGGCUCCUCUUCCAUCUAAUCUCAACUCGCUCCCUCAGUUCUUCUCGUAACCAUAUCAAAUUUCAGGUUUACUCUAAUUUUGAUGAAUUAUUUUCUGCAAUCGAAGCUUUUUUGACCUAAAAUUCAUGAGAGCAGCAACUGGAAGGAGACUAUCGACAGCUUCACUCGCGAUUGAGGACUCACUUGGAAAGUAUAGCAUUUUAUGGUGGAGAGAUGAGAGAAGAAGCCCAUAUUCAACAGAAGUUUAAGACCUUGGUUAGGCAUUUGAGUAGUGUCCUACAUGACCAUUGGUGGUUUGGCAUGAUUCAGGACUUUUUAUUGAAGUACUUUGGUGCUACAGUUGCUGUUAUUCUGAUAAUUGAGCCUUUCUUUUCUGGCCAUCUAAGUCACUGGGAACUCUUUUUAUUAGUGCAAGACGGCUCAAUUGACUCAGUGGUUAUGCUGAUCGCAUUCAUGAGUUAAUGGCUGUAUCAAGGGAGCUAAGCCUGGAGAAUGGGAAAUCUUCACUCCAAAGACGAGGAAGUAGAAGUUUCAUAAGUGAAGCUAACUACAUUGAAUUCUCUGGUGUCAAG